rnacentral:rRNA from 1 species
ACGGGGUGCAGCAGGCGCGAAACCUUCACAAUGUGCGAAAGCGCGAUGAGGGGAUCCCAAGUGCUUGCUCGUAAGAGUAAGCUGUUUUUAUGUCUAAAACGCAUAGAGGGUAAGGGCUGGGUAAGACGGGUGCCAGCCGCCGCGGUAAUACCUGCAGCUCAAGUGGUGACCGCUAUUAUUGGGCCUAAAACAUUCGUAGCCGGUUAGGUAAACGCCUGGGUAAAUCGUGUAGCUUAACUAUACGAAUUCCGGGUAGACUGCCAAACUUGAGACCGGGAGAAGCUAGAGGUACUCCUUGGGUAGAGGUGAAAUUCUGUAAUCCUAGGGGGACCACCAGUGGCGAAGGCGUCUAGCUAGAACGGGUUUGACGGUGAGGAAUGAAGCCCUGGGGCGCAAACCGGAUUAGAUACCCGGGUAGUCCAGGGUGUAAACGCUGCUUGCUUGAUGUUAGUUGGGCUCCGAGCCCAAUUAGUGUCGGAGAGAAGUUGUUAAGCAAGCUGCCUGGAAGUACGAUCGCAAGA